rnacentral:sRNA from 1 species
CCGCAGGAGGCCCGUCCGGGGGCCAGUGACCAAGAAAACGCAAUAGGCCGACAGUCUGUCGGGUCCAGAUAGUUCGGGGAAGCAGGUCUGGUCGCAGUCUUGGAGGAGCCUGGAUCUAGAUAGAGGAGGGAGUACAAGUUUUUGGCCGGUGUUCUCCCGCAGAUCUACUUUCUGGAAAAAAGUAGAUCUGCCAAGAGAAGGAAACGGCCUAUCUCUGGAGGAGGGCACAGGUACAAGGGAAAGCGAAAUCAAUUGUUGAGAGAGGGUUUUUGAAACACGCGUCUGGCGGGCUAUAUUAUCUUUGCCCUGGCGGCUCUGGGCGGGCUAGGGAGGCCGGCAUACCUUUUGCGACACAUGGAACGCGUCUAGAACGCAGACUCGGGUAACUUAUACAACAAUAGCGAGCACAGACGAGAG